rfam:Lactococcus garvieae Lg2 DNA, complete genome.
GGGAGCAUAGCUCAGUUGGUUAGAGCACUGUGUUGAUAACGCAGGGGUCCGAGGUUCAAAUCCUCGUGUUCCCA